CCUACGGGCGGCAGCAGUAGGGAAUCUUCCACAAUGGGCGCAAGCCUGAUGGAGCAACACCGCGUGAGGGAAGAAGGGUUUCGGCUCGUAAAGCUCUGUUGUUGGAGAAGAACGUGCGUGAGAGUAACUGUUCACGCAGUGACGGUAUCCAACCAGAAAGUCACGGCUAACUCCGUGCCAGCAGCCGCGGUAAUACGUAGGUGGCAAGCGUUAUCCGGAUUUAUUGGGCGUAAAGCGAGCGCAGGCGGUUGCUUAGGUCUGAUGUGAAAGCCUUCGGCUUAACCGAAGAAGUGCAUCGGAAACCGGGCAACUUGAGUGCAGAAGAGGACAGGGGAACUCCAUGUGUAGCGGUGGAAUGCGUAGAUAUAUGGAAGAACACCAGUGGCGAAGGCGGCUGUCUGGUCUGCAACUGACGCUGAGGCUCGAAAGCAUGGGUAGCGAACAGGAUUAGAUACCCUGGUAGUC
rnacentral:rRNA from 1 species